UUAUCACUGAAAAUCAAAAGUUUAGAAAAAAAAUACUUGUGAAAAACAGGGGCCAUCUCUCUGCUCACUCUGGUCUGUACUCUGUCCACUUUCAAUGUCAGUGUCAGUCACAGGUGAAUUGCCAAUUUGCUAUGCUAUUACACACAGAAAUUAAAGAAUCACAGAUCUAAAGCUUUAUUCAUAAAUUUCUGAUCUUUAACUUUUUUUCUUCUUCCUUGGAUUCUCCUCAUUAACUACCCACCAAUACUUUCGAGCUUUCUCUCUCCUCCCUUUAAUGGCGUCUUCAAGAGAAGUUUCAACCAUGAUUAAACAAGGCUUUAUUUCAGACCCAUCAAUUUCUCUCUCCUCCAUUAAUAAUAAAUCCAGAAAUUCCCCUUCUUCUUCCCCUUCUAAAACCCUCUCUCUCUCUCCCCCCCCUGCAUUUUCCCGACCUACCCUUUUCGAAAUGAUGUCGGAAGAACAGCUCCGAGAAUCCAAACAGUCAAGCGACAAUCAUCGCAGAAAAUUGACCGAGAAAUUAGCCAGGGUUUUGUCGAAAAACCCUAAUUUUGCGGAUAGCAAUAACUGUAGUAGUAAUAAUUUGGGGGGUUUUGGAGAUGGUGAUGUAAAGCUUACUGUAAGUGGAAGAGAUGGUUUCAAGAUUUCAAUGGAUGUUCAUAGAAAAGUUUUGGCAGAAAAAAGUAGGUUUUUUGCUGAGAAAUUGAGAGAUGGAGGUAUUACUCAUUCAGUUGAGAUUUGUGAUUGUGAUGAUGUUGAAAUUUAUGUUGAAACUCUUGUUUUGAUGUAUUCUGAUGAUUUGAAGAAGAAAUUGAUGGGUGAAGAUGUUUCCAGAAUCUUGAGCUUGCUUAAGGUAUCUGCAGCCAUUUUAUUUGAAGCUGGGAUUUUGUCAUGCUUAGAUUAUUUGGAGGCUGUUCCAUGGUCUGAAGACGAAGAGGAGAAAAUAAUUUCAUGUCUUAAUCAGCUUCACAUUCACGACUCAGUGAGUGAAGAUGUGCUGCAGAGAUUAUCAACUGAGCCAUCCACAUUUGCAAAAGCUGAUGACAUGUUCAUGAAAAUGCUUACUGGUGUCCUUCAGGCAAAGGAUGAUAAAGCUCGUAGAGAAAUGAAGUCUCUUAUUUCUCGGUUGCUUAAGGAAGAUGCUGUAGAUUACAGCAACUAUGGUCCCAAAAUUGAUGUUUCCAGAGAUACCCUCUAUAGUCUUUGCCAUAGGUGUCUCAGUGCUCUUAUCCUUUGCUUGUCUGAAGCUACAUGCAUGGAUGAAAGUAGGCAGGACCGGGGGGCUAUAAUGGCUGAGAUAGCUCGUGAAGCCGACAAUAUGCAGUGGAUUGUUGAAAUCCUAAUCGACAAGAAGAUGGGGGAUGAGUUUGUAAAAUUGUGGGCAGAUCAAAAGGAACUUGCUACCCUCCACUCAAAGAUCCCGACUAUGUACAGGCAUGAGAUUAGUAGGGUUACAGCACAGCUAUGUAUUGCCAUUGGAAGGGGGCAUAUUUUGGUGCCUAAGGAGACACGUUAUUCUCUUCUUUCCACUUGGUUAGAACCUCUAUAUGAGGACUUUGGAUGGAUGAAGAGAGCUAGUAGGUUUGUUGACAAGAAAGUUGUUGAAGAUGGUCUUAGCCAAACUAUUCUUACUCUGCCUAUAUCACAGCAGCAGAGCAUAUUGAUGAAUUGGUUUGAUAGAUUUCUUACCAAAGGAGAUGAUUGUCCCAAUAUUCAAAAGGCAUUCGAGAUUUGGUGGAGAAGGGCUUUUAUCAGGCAGUAUGCACCAGAUCAAGAUCAGCGCAUGCAGAUUACCGUGUGCAAUAAUGCUGAUUAAUUUUGCCCAAUUCACCUAGAACAGGAUUGAAUAUAUUAGUUUGCAGGAUUAAUUGUGGGCUUGUGGCUAAUCAGCUGUAACAGUGUAAUAUCUACCCAUCUUUGAAGGUUUUGAUUGCCAAUACAUGUGUGCAACACUUAAAAGACGUUAUGAGAGACAGGACUGUAGACCUUAGAAAUCCAGACUGAGAUCUCUGAAUAAGGCCUGGUACAUAGGAAUGGAGUAUGAACAUUGGCAGUUCAAGAAAAUGAAAAUUGAUUUUUUUGCUACAGUAUCUAUAUUUAUUUAUUAAGGCAGAAACUUCAGUACGCUGCUCAGGUUCUGUUCAUGCUAAACAAUAGUUCUGGUGUGCAAUUGACCAGUGAUCACUACAUACAAGCAAAGGCCAAGGCUUGGACAAUCUAACUUGCUUCAGCAAGGUAGCAAAGCCAUAAUUUCAGUCUGAGAGUAUUAUAUGGGUUGUUCAGUUUAUUUUGGUUAAGAGAUUUGAUAGACCAAUCACUUCUGGGAAAUUCCUACAUAAAGGAAAUAUGUUAUGUAAACAUAUCCUAUGCACUUUUGUAAAAAUAAUGAACUUUUUUUUUUUUUAAAAUUAAAAAAGAUUAAGAAAACGAAAAGAAAACAAGCAUUACGAACGGAGCAAUGACAGUCUAUUGACGGGGUUAACUGAAGCUUCAGUCAAUUAACUCCAACUUCAGUCACUUAAGUCAAUUAACUCCAAAAGCAAACAAGACAAGGAAGAGAAGCAGCCAGAUUCAGGAAAGCUUGUAACAAGAGUUUUUGAAGCUUGAAUCUGAUUCAGUUGAAACAUCAACCAAAUCGCAGUACAAGCUGCUUCCACUUUUGCACUGAGGAAUAGGCUUCCUGUAAGCUUACGAGAUCAAAUGGUUGCUCACUAGUGUUUGAAAACAGAACUGAUUCUGAAGGUACGCAAUAGAUCUUCUGAAGGUUUCCAAGAUGAAAGCUGAGUACUACCCUUCCAAAGAAGACAUGAUCGUGGAGAAUGAGGGACCUACUGAUCUGCAUGUACUAGUCUCUGGUGCCAUGGUAUGGAAGUGUACGUGACAAGUAGAUGUGUGAUGGUUCAGCAGGACUAGACUGCAGGCAGGUUGAUUUUGAGGAGUUCGAGGCUCUCAAGCACUAGACGAUUUAUAGCGCUUCCCUUGUUGCUGCCACUACUGUCACUGAUGCAUUUUUGCAAACGGUUAACAUUUAUCAAAAAUGACGCCUAAUGAAACCCUGUUUAGAUUGUUGAAACACUGUCGAGAUUGUUAUAUCUUUGACGCCCAAUGAAACGCUGUUGGUAUCUUUGAACAAUUAAGUUAUAUUUAUUUGAGAUAAAAUUGUAAUGUUACAAUCAUAAAGAGUAUACAUAAAUUGAGUGUCUUGGCAAUGAAAGAUCCUCGUUAAAAGCCAAAGGAAU